rnacentral:misc_RNA from 1 species
CGCACAUUGCGCCCAUUGGUAUUCCGAUGGGCAUGUCUGUUUGAGCGUCAUUACACCACUUCGGUUGCGGAUUUGUUUCCCGCCGGUGUUGAGCACGGCCCAACCCUCCAACGGGCGGCCGGCUUUAAAGUGUACGCUCUGCGGGCCACCCAACCCGAACGAACAUAGUAGAAUCCAUUCAACCUGUUCAAUCGAAAGGGUGAAGCUUCGCCUUGAAGAAAAACCCCUCUCAGGUUUGACCUCAGAUCAGACAAGGAUACCCGCUGAACUUAA